AAUUAAGAGAAAUACAUUUUUAUUUUUUUUAAUUAAAAACAUUUUUGACGUGGAGUCUUGCUCUCUCGCCCAGGCUGGAGUGCAGUGGCGCGAUCUCCGAUGACUGCAACCUCCCUCUCUCGGGAUCAAGCGAUUUGCCUGCCUCACCCUCAGAGUAGCUGAGAUUACAGGCGUGCAGCACCACAUCCGGCUAAUUUUUAGUAGAGACGGGGGUUUCACCAUGUUGGGCACGCUGGUCUCGAACUCCUGACCUCAAAUGAUCCACCCGCCUCGGCCUCCCAAAGUGCUGGGAUUACAGGCGUGAGCCACCGCGCCUGGAUCCUUCUUUCGCUCUUCCCGUCUCUGCGAAUCCCGACCCAUCCUCUACUUUGCCAUGUGUUUAUGGGUUUCCUUCAUUCUUUCCUCUCAGUUUUUGUAAUUCACUCUCAGCCCCUCUCUGUUUCCUGAUCCCUUUGGCCCACACAUUCACAGGAGGGUUUGGAGUAAGACACCUGGAUCCUGGAGGAGCACAUUUUCCAGCGGGUGGAGCUGGGCAGGCAAGAACACCGGGUGUCACAGGACAGGCCCCGGGCACCUCCCCAACGCGGGCGCAGGGGAAGCGGUGACUGCGAAGGGGAGGCCUGGGGAGCAGCAGGGCCCGGCACGAGGAGGAGGGAGGUGGGGGGCGACGGCGCCUUAGGACAGGGUAGGGUCUGCAGGAGCCUAGGACCAGGCGGAGGACGCGGUCUGCGGCGCUGCGCUCCAGGGCCGACGACGGAGAGGCUGGGAGGCGCUCAGGACGGGAAUCCACCUCGCAGGGGAAGAGUCAAGUCUGUGCUUCCAGAGACUUUUAUAGGACAACACCUGGACCGUGGGCUGUGGACCGUGGAAGGCUAAAACCCGCAGUAAGCCAGAUCACCAACUGCUGCUUUAAAACACGCAAUAACUUUUAAAAAAAAAUAGAUAUGAAUUGUAUUGUUCUUCCUUAUACUUGUUAUUCGGUUCCACGGUUGACAAAACCUCAAAUAACUUUGAGAUAAACUUUUUUUUUUUUUUUUUGAGAUGGAGUCUCGCUCUGUCCCCCAGGCUCCUGGAAUACAAUGGCGCGAUCUCGGUUCACUGCAACCUCUGCCUCCCAAGCUCAAGCGAUUCUCCUGCCUCAGCCUCUGGACUAGCUGGGAUUACAGGCGCGUGCCACCACGCC
rnacentral:lncRNA from 1 species